AGCAGCCGCGGUAAUUCCAGCUCCAAUAGCGUAUAUUAAAGUUGUUGCAGUUAAAAAGCUCGUAGUUGAAUUUCGGGAUCAAAGAAUCGGUCAUGCCUUGGUAUGUACUGGUUUUAUUGGUUCUCACCUUCUAAAGAACCAUGAUGUCAUUCAUUUGAUGUUAUGGGGAAUUAGGACUGUUACCUUGAAAAAAUUUAGAGUGUUUAAAGCAAGCUUACGCUUGAAUACAUUAGCAUGGAAUAAUGAAAUAGGACGUUUGAUCCUAUUUUGUUGGUUUCUAGGAUCGACGUAAUGAUUAAUAGGGAUAGUUGGGGGCAUUAGUAUUCAAUUGUCAGAGGUGAAAUUCUUGGAUUUAUUGAAGACUAACUACUGCGAAAGCAUUUGCCAAGGAUGUUUUCAUUAAUCAAGAACGAAAGUUAGGGGAUCGAAGACGAUCAGAUACCGUCGUAGUCUUAACCAUAAACUAUGCCGACUAGGGAUCGGAUGAUGUUAAUUUUUUAAUGACUCAUUCGGCGCCUUA
rnacentral:misc_RNA from 1 species